AUGCAGCAAAAAGCAAGAUUCACAAGUUCAUCUUCUGGAUGCUUUUCAGUACAUCUACUUCCCGUUAUGCAAGUGUGGAGGGCCGGUAAGUUCUACUACCAGUCUACGCCAAGUUCAGGGGCAUUGCCACUGAUGGAAAGGACAAUGAACCAACGACGUCGGAUCAUAGGUCGAAGGAGGCUGGGUCAAGGCACCAUGACUGGAGCGCCCUGGCCGAUCACAGCCACCACCGCAGGCCAUUCAAUGCCACCUCCGCAGGUUGUCUCCAGCCAGUCGUCGCUGCCCCCGGCGCCUCCACGCCCAGACCCCCUUCCUCCGUUCCUCAAAAAUCUGUCAAUUCGAAAGCCUCAAAAACCCGUCAGUUGGAAAUCCGUUCAACAUCCGUGGUUGAUAACGUCCACGAGCUCCUCUGUGAUUAGUUCCUUCGGUCGAUAA
rnacentral:rRNA from 1 species